GGUAGAGAGAGAGAGGUAGAGAGAGAGAGAGAGAGAGAGAGAGAGGUAGAGAGAGAGAGAGAGAUAUGAAUUUCACUUCGCAUGAAGAAAAGCUCAAUAGCAAGUGGUGCAACAGUGGGUUCAGCCAAGCCACAGACUGAAAUCCACUCUCUCUCUCCAGCUCAGGGCUAUUUGUCAUUAUAAGUGAACCAGUGCUCAUGUUUCCCAAGACCUCAUUAUCGUUAUUUCCCAGCCAUUAUUAAGUCCAGAACCCCACUCCAGUCCAGUCCAACACACACUAGUUACUAUGUAUUAGGCUUGAAGCCCUUCCUCAUCGACAUUGUUUUAACUGUGGGUUGUGAGGUUGAUGUCGUGGACGUUUGCAGGUCAGGGAGAGUUGAUAAGGCUUCAUUAGAUACUGGAAAUAUUCCAUGUCUCUCAGUUCAUUCUCUAAACACAUUGUCAUCUUAAUGCAUAAUUACACGUAGGUACAAAACAAAUCCAAGGUAAAUAAUUACAUGUAGGUACACGUAGGUACACGUAGGUAC
ensembl:lncRNA